rnacentral:rRNA from 1 species
UACGUAGGGGGCAAGCGUUGUCCGGAUUUAUUGGGCGUAAAGAGCGUGUAGGCGGCCAUGCAGGUCCGUUGUGAAAACUCGAGGCUCAACCUCGAGACGCCGGUGGAAACCGUGUGGCUAGAGUCCGGAAGAGGAGAGUGGAAUUCCUGGUGUAGCGGUGAAAUGCGCAGAUAUCAGGAAGAACACCCGUGGCGAAGGCGGGUCUCUGGGCCGAUACUGACGCUGAGGAGCGAAAGCGUGGGGAGCGAACAGG